rnacentral:rRNA from 1 species
UCGUAACAAGGUUUCCGUAGGUGAACCUGCGGAAGGAUUAUCA